GCGGUAUGCUUAACACAUGCAAGUCGAACGGAUGUUUUCGGACAUUAGUGGCGGACGGGUGAGUAACGCGUGAGAAUCUGCCUAUAGGUUGGGGACAACAGAUGGAAACGUCUGCUAAUACCCGAUGUGCCGAGAGGUAAAAGCUUUAGUGCCUGUAGAUGAGCUCGCGUCCGAUUAGCUAGUUGGUUGGGUAAAGGCUGACCAAGGCGACGAUCGGUAGCUGGUCUGAGAGGAUGAUCAGCCACACUGGGACUGAGACACGGCCCAGACUCCUACGGGAGGCAGCAGUGGGGAAUUUUCCGCAAUGGGCGAAAGCCUGACGGAGCAAUACCGCGUGCGGGACGAAGGCUUUUGGGUCGUAAACCGCUUUUGUUAGGGAAGAAGAACUGACGGUACCUAACGAAUCAGCAUCGGCUAACUCCGUGCCAGCAGCCGCGGUAAUACGGGGGAUGCAAGCGUUAUCCGGAAUUAUUGGGCGUAAAGCGUCCGCAGGUGGUUUAUCAAGUCUGCUGUUGAAGCGUGGGGCUUAACCCCAUACAGGCAGUGGAAACUGAGAGACUAGAGUACGGUAGGGGUAGCGGGAAUUCCCAGUGUAGCGGUGAAAUGCGUAGAUAUUGGGAAGAACACCAGCGGCGAAAGCGCGCUACUGGGCCGAAACUGACACUCAUGGACGAAAGCUAGGGGAGCGAAAGGGAUUAGAUACCCCUGUAGUCCUAGCUGUAA
rnacentral:rRNA from 1 species